rnacentral:rRNA from 1 species
AUUGAACGCUGGCGGCAGGCUUAACACAUGCAAGUCGAACGAGUGGCGGACGGGUGAGUAAUGCUUGGGAAUCUAGCUUAUGGAGGGGGAAAACUACGGGAACCUGAAGCAAAAACCGCGUACCAUGGGAUAGGCCCAAGUGGGAUUAGGUAGUGGGUGAGGUAAAGGCUCACCAAGCCGACGAUCCCUAGCUGGUCUGAGAGGAUGACCAGCCACACUGGGACUGAGACACGGCCCAGACUCCUACGGGAGGCAGCAGUGGGGAAUAUUGCGCAAUGGGGGCAACCCUGACGCAGCCAUGCCGCGUGAAUGAAGAAGGCCUUCGGGUUGUAAAGUACUUUCAGUCGGGAGGCGUUACCGACAGAAGAAGCACCGGCUAACUCCGUGCCAGCAGCCGCGGUAAUUC